rfam:TPA: Bos taurus chromosome 2, whole genome shotgun sequence.
UCCCUGGUGGUCCAGUAGUUAGGGCUCUGUGCUUUCACUGCAGGGGGCACAGGUUCAAUCCCUGGUUGGGGAA